rnacentral:rRNA from 1 species
UAGUUGCACGAGUUCAGACUCGUAGCAGAUAGCUCAGUAACACGUGGCCAAACUACCCUAUGGAUCCGAAUAACCUCGGGAAACUGAGGCUAAUAUGGAAUAGCGUUCAUCGCCUGGAGUGGCACGAACGCGAAACGUUACGGCGCCAUAGGAUGUGGCUGCGGCCGAUUAGGUAGACGGUGGGGUAACGGCCCACCGUGCCCAUAAUCGGUACGGGUUGUGAGAGCAAGAGCCCGGAGACGGUAUCUGAGACAAGAUACCGGGCCCUACGGGGCGCAGCAGGCGCGAAACCUUUACACUGCACGCGAGUGCGAUAAGGGCACUCCGAGUGCGAGGGCAUAUAGUCCUCGCUUUUCACGACCGUAAGGUGGUCGUAGAAUAAGUGCUGGGCAAGACCGGUGCCAGCCGCCGCGGUAAUACCGGCAGCACGAGUGAUGACCGCUAUUAUUGGGCCUAAAGCGUCCGUAGCUGGCCACGCAAGUCUAUCGGGAAAUCCGCGCGCUUAACGCGCGGGCGUCCGGUGGAAACUGCGUGGCUUGGGACCGGAAGACCAGAGGGGUACGUCCGGGGUAAGAGUGAAAUCCCGUAAUUCUGGACGGACCACCGGUGGCGAAAGCGCCUCUGGAAGACGGAUCCGACGGUGAGGGACGAAAGCUCGGGUCACGAACCGGAUUAGAUACCCGGGUAGUCCGAGCUGUAAACGAUGUCUGCCAAGUGUGGCACAGGCUACAGCCUGUG